rnacentral:lncRNA from 1 species
UAUGUCAUGCUUCCCUUUUUGAUAAUCUACCAUCCAAACUCCAUUAUAUCCCUCCCUUUCUUGUCGAAUGGGUUUGGACAUGCGAAGGAUGACUUGUUCAUGAAAGUCCAAAGUGAUCCUCUCAUUGUCAUCCAUAUGAGCACCCGGAGCGAAGGCAUUCUUCACGCGAGGUCUACCACUAGGACCUCUAGCUGGAAUAGGCCUCCAUCUGCCUUGAGCACGCUGGGGAACCUUG